rnacentral:rRNA from 1 species
CCUACGGGGGACUGCAGUGGGGAAUAUUGCACAAUGGGGGAAACCCUGAUGCAGCGACGCCGCGUGAGUGAAGAAGUAUUUCGGUAUGUAAAGCUCUAUCAGCAGGGAAGAAAAUGACGAUAACUGACUAAGAAGCCCCGGCUAACUACGUGCCAGCAGCCGCGGUAAUACGUAGGGGGCAAGCGUUAUCCGGAUUUACUGGGUGGAAAGUGAGCGUAGACGGGAGAGCAAGUCUGAAGGGAAAGCCCGGGGCCCAACUGCGGGACUGCUUUGGAAACUGCCCGGCUAGAGUGCUGGAGAGGUAAGCGGAAUUCCUAGUGUAGCGGUGAAAUGCGUAGAUAUUAGGAGGAACACCAGUGGCGAAGGCGGCUUACUGGACAGUAACUGACGUUGAGGCUCGAAAGCGUGGGGAGCAAACAGGAUUAGAUACCCCUGUAGUC